AUUGAACGCUGGCGGCAGGCCUAACACAUGCAAGUCGAGCGGAUGAGAAGAGCUUGCUCUUCGAUUCAGCGGCGGACGGGUGAGUAAUGCCUAGGAAUCUGCCUGGUAGUGGGGGACAACGUUUCGAAAGGAACGCUAAUACCGCAUACGUCCUACGGGAGAAAGCAGGGGACCUUCGGGCCUUGCGCUAUCAGAGGAGCCUAGGUCGGAUUAGCUUGUUGGUGAGGUAAUGGCUCACCAAGGCGACGAUCCGUAACUGGUCUGAGAGGAUGAUCAGUCACACUGGAACUGAGACACGGUCCAGACUCCUACGGGAGGCAGCAGUGGGGAAUAUUGGACAAUGGGCGAAAGCCUGAUCCAGCCAUGCCGCGUGUGUGAAGAAGGUCUUCGGAUUGUAAAGCACUUUAAGUUGGGAGGAAGGGCAGCUAGCGAAUACCUGGUUGUUUUGACGUUACCGACAGAAUAAGCACCGGCUAACUCUGUGCCAGCAGCCGCCGUAA
rnacentral:rRNA from 1 species